rnacentral:rRNA from 1 species
AUGCUGUGGGUGGACAAGCACCGGCCGAAAACCCUAGACAAGGUCAUCGUCCAUGAGCAGGUCGCGCAGAACCUCAAGAAAUUCGUGGCGGAGCAGGACUGCCCGCACCUGCUCUUCUAUGGCCCACCGGGGUCCGGCAAGAAAACCCUAAUCAUGGCGCUCAUCAAGCAGAUGUUCGGCGCCGGUGUGGAGAAGGUGAAGAUGGAGAAUAAGACGUGGAAGAUCGAUACUGGGACGAGGACAUUUGAUCUUGAGCUGGCGAUGUUGUCAAGUUCCCACCAUGUGGAGAUGAACCCCAGCGAUGCUGGCUUUCAGGACAGGUAUGUUGUUCAGGAGGUCAUCAAAGAGAUGGCCAAGAGUAGGCCCAUUGAUGCCAAGGGCAAGAGAGCAUUUAAAGUGCUUGUCCUAAAUGAAGUUGACAAGCUGUCACGAGAAGCACAACAUUCCCUCCGUAGGACAAUGGAGAAAUACAGUGCAUCGUGUAGACUCAUAUUAUGCUGUAAUAGCUCCUCAAAGGUGACAGAAGCUGUAAGGUCCCGUUGCUUGAAUGUGCGAGUGAAUGCACCUACCGAAGAUCAGAUUGUACAAGUACUGGAAUUCAUUGGGAAGAAAGAGAAUCUGCAACUUCCAUUUGGAUUUGCUGCUCGGAUAGCAGCUCAAUCAAACCGCAACUUGAGGCGAGCAAUAUUAUUUUUUGAGACAUGCAAAGUCCAGCAAUAUCCAUUUUCAGCAAAUCAAGUGGCACCUCCUCUUGACUGGGAGCAGUAUGUGUCUGAAAUAGCAACUGAAAUCUUGAGUGAACAAAGCCCUAAAAGGCUAUAUUCUGUACGCCAGAAAUUCUAUGAGUUACUUGUGAAUUGUAUCCCACCUGAAAGCAUCUUGAAGAAGUUGUUAACCGAGUUAAUGAAGAAGUUAGACUCUGAUUUGAAGCAUGAAGUUUGUCACUGGGCUGCACACUAUGAACACAAGAUGCGACUUGGGUCCAAGGCCAUUUUUCAUCUGGAAGCUUUCGUGGCCAAGUUCAUGAGCAUUUACAAGGAGUUCCUUUGCGCCGCAUUUGGUUGA